UCCUUCAGUAAUUUUGAGUUUAUUUUCUAACAGUUUCAUACAAGCAUACAAUUUCUCCACACACACACCCCCUCGCCCCGCCAACUGUCACGUGACCCACUGAGUUUCCUUAGGGCUGAAUGCCUAUGUCAGAGUCCAUUACCUAUUGGAUUAGUGGCAACUUCCCAGCGGCUUCACUUCUGAAGAAAAAUGACUGCCUCUCCUCCGGCAGUUGUUAACUACCAACAGCUACUUAGGUAGAGGCGGGCCCUCUCGCGCCUCUCCACUACUCCUGCAGACCUGGAGUUUUAUGUGGGUGCUGGGAUCCAGCUCGGGUCCGCACGCUGGUACAGCAAGCACUGGCUGAGCCACCUCUCCGAUGGUACCCCUUAUCUCCAUCCCAGGACGCCGCGGUCUUGACUGCACAGAAAGGAGACUUCGACAGUACCGUGUGCUGCUUCCUGUUCCUGACUGCAGCUGCAGUGUCACCGCUGCCUCAUCCUCCAGCCACCGUGCCAUCCAUGUCUCAAACUGUAGCCAAAACAAACCAUUCCUGAAGCUUUGUCAGGUCCCAGUGAUGAGAAAACCUGCUACCACACAGGGGGCGCAUCCCACCCUCCUCUCCCUCUGAGUCACCACCACUCAGGGGCAUGUCUCUCGCCCUCGCUCUCCAUCAGUGAGUCCCGGGGGUCAGAAUGAGAACGCAGAGACAGGAACUUGGGUAUUGUGAUGAUCAAUACCGAUUGUCAGUACCACGGGAUCUAGAAUCAUCUUGGGUACGAUCUCAGUGCACCUUUUAGAGACUAUGUGGACCGGAGGACGAGGGGCUGAGCACCGAACCCAUAGGUCAACCUGUAGGGAAAGACUCAUCCCCAGUGUUGUCAGCACCAUCCCACGGCUGGGCUCCUACAGUGCACAGACAGGGGAAAGCUAGGCGUGCAUCAACAGCCCUCUCUGCUCCCUGAGUGUGGCUACGAACAGCUUCCUCGCCUUCCCCAACCACAACUUCCCAGCCUCGAUGGACAAUAUCUCCCAUCCAUUGACUCAAAUAAACCCUAUGCUCUUUCAGAUGCUUUAAAA